rnacentral:lncRNA from 10 species
UUAUCUGACCCCCCAGCAAGAACGUGCGCUCCGGGAAGGCAGGGUCUUCUGGUUUGGCUUUGCUCACCCCUGCAUCCCCAGCACCCAGAAGACAAUCAAUAAAGGGAAAAGAAGGAUUAUCAUCUCAGUUGUACAAAUGAGGAAACCAGCUCUUGGGGUGGGAUGUAGGGAUCUGCAAUGGGGUGGGGCAGACCCUCAGCCCAGCUGACAUCCAGCCGAUCUGCACCAGUCCAGCCAUGCUGGUUGUUAACAUAUAUUGCUGAGCUUCCCUGCCUGUGCCUGUGCCAAGUCUCUCCACCCCCAGAUGCCUUCCUGGGCUCCUAGACAUUCCUCGCUCCCACCUCACUCUUAGUACAGCUCUGUCCUCUGGUACACUCCCACGCAGUCCCCUCAGGGAAGCUUCCAGCACAUUGGGCAGGCGGGGCUGUCAGCCAUUGGGCAGGGGUGAGGCUGGAAGCUGGCUUGAGCAGAGCAGGUGUCAGCGCCAGCCCUCUUCCCUGCAUGCCUAUGGCCAUGGUGC